rnacentral:rRNA from 2 species
CCUACGGGAGGCAGCAGUGGGGAAUAUUGCACAAUGGGCGCAAGCCUGAUGCAGCCAAACCGGGUGUGUGAAGAAGGCCUUCGGGUUGUAAAGCACUUUCAGCGGGGAGGAAGGCGGUGAGGUUAAUAACCUCAUCGAUUGACGUUACCCGCAGAAGAAGCCCCGGCUAACUUCGUGCCAGCAGCCGCGGUAAU